CAAUAGCGUAUAUUAAUGUUGUUGCAGUUAAAAAGCUCGUAGUUGAAUUUCUGGUUAACAUAAUAGCUGGCUUUGGUCGUUAUUAUUUUAAUCAUCCGUUAGAGAACUAUAGCCGUCCUUAACUGGUCACUAUAGAGAUCUAACAUUUUACUUUGAAAAAUUAGAGUGUUCAAGGCAGGCAAUCGUCAUGAAUACAUUAGCAUGGAAUAAUAAGAUAGGACUUCGGAACUAUUUUGUUGGUUUGCGUUACGAAGUAAUGAUUAAUAGGGACAGUUGGGGGUAUUCGUAUUUCAUUGUCAGAGGUGAAAUUCUUGGAUUUCUGAAAGACGAACUACUGCGAAAGCAUUUACCAAGGAUGUUUUCAUUAAUCAAGAACGAAAGUUAGGGGAUCGAAGACGAUCAGAUACCAU
rnacentral:rRNA from 1 species